UGAGGAAUUUUGCGCAAUGGGAGCAAUCCUGACGCAGCAACGCCGCGUGGGUGAUGAAGGCCUUCGGGUCGUAAAGCCCUGUCAGGUGGGAAGAAUGUCCCGGAACUGAACAGGUUUCGGGAGUGACGGUACCACCAGAGGAAGCACCGGCUAACUCCGUGCCAGCAGCCGCGGUAAUACGGAGGGUGCAAGCGUUAUUCGGAAUUACUGGGCGUAAAGCGCGUGUAGGCGGUCCUGCAAGUCUGAUGUGAAAGCCCCGGGCUUAACCCGGGAAGUGCAUUGGAAACUGCAGGUCUUGAGUACUGGAGAGGAUGUGGGAAUUCCUGGUGUGGAGGUGAAAUUCGUAGAGGUCGGGAGGAAUAUCAGUGGCGAAGGCGCAGAUCUGGACGGGAGCUGACGCUGAGACGCGAAAGCGUGGGGAGCAAACA
rnacentral:rRNA from 1 species